AAGUCAUAAGGGUGGGACCUCAUGAUGGUUUUAGUGCCUUUAUUAGAAGAGACCUCAGAGAGCUUGCUCCCUCUCUGAGUGAGCACAAAGAAGAGAUGAUGUGAGCACACACAGAAGUGGCAGCCACCUACAAGCCAAGAGAAUAGGCCUUAGAGUGAAACCAACCUUGCCAGCACCUUAUCUUGGCCUUCCCAGCCUCCAGAACUUGUGUGUGAUAACACUCUUUUUGGAAAACAUGUCCUGCCGGGAUUGAUGGGAAAACUAAAACUCCCCAUCCUUUGCUGAGCUUUCCUGGAGAUCACUGUCAUUUGAAAACUAACGCAAAACUCUUGGUCAGAUAUUUAGUUUGACCCAACCCCACUAAUAGGUAACAGAUACAGAAGCCCUGUGAAGAGGUACAACGUCUAAGACCACUCAGCCACUCAAGCAAUGCCAAUUCUGGAACACAGCUCUCCAGAUUCUCAGGUGCUCUGAUGUUCACAGUGCCAAAUGAAAAUGGUCAGUUGUUGAUGCUACAUAUUCCCUUCCACUAGAAAACUAUUAUCACUUUAUUAUUAAACAUUUUUCUCUUUCUGCUUGAGGAAAAUCAUAUUUUGGAUGUUAAAUAUAAAGUAAAAAAUUCCAG